CCUACGGGGGACUGCAGUGAGGAAUAUUGGUCAAUGGACGAGAGUCUGAACCAGCCAAGUAGCGUGAAGGAUGACUGCCCUAUGGGUUGUAAACUUCUUUUAUAUGGGAAUAAAAUGUUCCACGUGUGGGAUUUUGUAUGUACCAUAUGAAUAAGGAUCGGCUAACUCCGUGCCAGCAGCCGCGGUAAUACGGAGGAUCCGAGCGUUAUCCGGAUUUAUUGGGUUUAAAGGGAGCGUAGGUGGAUUGUUAAGUCAGUUGUGAAAGUUUGCGGCUCAACCGUAAAAUUGCAGUUGAAACUGGCAGUCUUGAGUACAGUAGAGGUGGGCGGAAUUCGUGGUGUAGCGGUGAAAUGCUUAGAUAUCACGAAGAACUCCGAUUGCGAAGGCAGUUCACUGGACUGCAACUGACACUGAGGCUCGAAAGUGUGGCUAUCAAACAGGAUUAGAUACCCCAGUAGUC
rnacentral:rRNA from 1 species